UACGUAGGGGGCUAGCGUUGUCCGGAUUGACUGGGCGUAAAGCGCCCGCAGGCGGUCGCGCGCGUGGGGUGUGAAAUCUGGCCGCUUAACGGCCAGGCGCCAUCCCAUACGGCGCGACUCGAGCCAUGCAGAGGGCGGUGGAAUUGCCGGUGUAGUGGUGAAAUGCGUAGAUAUCGGGAGGAACACCAGUGGCGAAGGCGACUACCUGGCCUGUUCUUGACGCUGAGGCGCGAAAGCUAGGGGAGCAAACGGG
rnacentral:rRNA from 1 species